rnacentral:rRNA from 1 species
UACGUAGGUGGCAAGCGUUGUCCGGAUUUAUUGGGUUUAAAGGGUGCGUAGGUGGCCCUGUAAGUCAGUGGUGAAAUCUCUCAGCUUAACUGAGAGGGUGCCAUUGAUACUGCAGGGCUUGAGUACAGAUGAGGUAGGCGGAAUUGACGGUGUAGCGGUGAAAUGCAUAGAUAUCGUCAAGAACACCGAUAGCGAAGGCAGCUUACCAAGCUGUAACUGACACUGAGGCACGAAAGUGUGGGGAUCAAACAGG